CUAUCCCCAGCACCGCUUUGGCGGGGUGUGUGGCUAGAGACAACCAAGGAAAAGUCGCGGCUGUGAAGCACAGCCUGGGGUCAGGAGACAGCCCCGAACCCCAGCUCUGGCAGUCAGGAACCACAGGGCCUCACCCAAGCCAUCCAGCCCUGUUUCCUGGGGUGAGACUGGCUCAGCGCUGUUAAACCUAGAGGGCGCAGACCCGCUUCUGCACAAGUGUGUGGAUAUGGGGGAGCAGCGAUUUCCGGCUAAAGGGUCCGGGGAUCUCAUGGGAUCCUCAGACGCCCCUCGCCCCCCACCUCCCGCCAAAUAUCACCAGAAAACGGGGUCUCCUCAUGUUGCCCAGGCUGGUCUCGAACUCCUCAAGCGAUCCACCUGCCUCAGCCUCCCAGAGCACUGGAAUUACAGGCGUGAGCCACCCCGCGGGGCCUGCUGAGCUUUAUUGGAAAGUGGCUAGUCCGAAUUGAGAUGUGAUAUAAGUGUGAAAUACACACACUAGAUUUUGAGGACUGAGAAUGAGAAAAAGAAUGUAAAAUAUCUCAUUAACUUUAUAUGAAUCACAUGUUAAACAUAAUAUUUUGGAUAUAUUUGGAUAAAUAAAAUGUUAUGACAACUUCA